rnacentral:rRNA from 1 species
CACAUCUCCCAAUAGCUAGCCCUACUACAAAAUACAACAAACAACAUUAAUAACCCCAAACACACUACCGAACAACCAUCAAAUCAUUUUUCCUCCCUAGUAUGGGCGACAGAAAAG